CUUGUUCACGUGAAAGGAGAAUGAAAGUAAUCCAGCUGCUGCAGAUAAAGUAGUGAUGUGAGACUGAGAAGAGUCAUCAAGUUAAAGCUCGGCCACCACCCUGCACAUCACAUAUUUAUUCACGGCGACCCUCUCGAUGGCCUUUGAGUGGGCAGGAUGGAUGCGGUGGAGCUCACUGAAAGCACCGCUGGCUCUGAGUGUGCAGAAGGAUGGGGACGGCUUCAGGAGCCAGACGUUUUCUUCUACCCUUAAAAAACAAAGUGCAACUUUAAGAGAGUCUGCACCA